rnacentral:rRNA from 1 species
UAUUGGGCGUAAGCGAGCGCAGGCGGUCUUUUAAGUCUAAUGUGAAAGCCUUCGGCUCAMCCGAAGAAGUGCAUUGGAAACUGGGAGACUUGAGUGCAGAAGAGGACAGUGGAACUCCAUGUGUAGCGGUGAAAUGCGUAGAUAUAUGGAAGAACACCAGUGGCGAAGGCGGCUGUCUGGUCUGCAACUGACGCUGAGGCUCGAAAGCAUGGGUAGCGAACAGGAUUAGAUACCCUGGUAGUCCAUGCCGUAAACGAUGAUUACUAAGUGUUGGAGGGUUUCCGCCCUUCAGUGCUGCAGCUAACGCAUUAAGUAAUCCGCCUGGGGAGUACGACCGCAAGGUUGAAACUCAAAAGAAUUGACGGGGGCCCGCACAAGCGGUGGAGCAUGUGGUUUAAUUCGAAGCUACGCGAAGAACCUUACCAGGUCUUGACAUCUUCUGACAGUCUAAGAGAUUAGAGGUUCCCUUCGGGGACAGAAUGACAGGUGGUGCAUGGUUGUCGUCAGCUCGUGUCGUGAGAUGUUGGGUUAAGUCCCGCAACGAGCGCAACCCUUAUUACUAGUUGCCAGCAUUAAGUUGGGCACUCUAGUGAGACUGCCGGUGACAAACCGGAGGAAGGUGGGGACGACGUCAAAUCAUCAUGCCCCUUAUGACCUGGGCUACACACGUGCUACAAUGGAUGGUACAACGAGUCGCGAGACCGCGAGGUUAAGCUAAUCUCUUAAAACCAUUCUCAGUUCGGACUGUAGGCUGCAACUCGCCUACACGAAGUCGGAAUC